rnacentral:lncRNA from 1 species
UGGAGAAGAACAUGUGAUGUUGUUUUGCACACAGCUGGGGGAGAAAGCUCCAGUUUGCACAUUCCUGGAGGAAUAACGGAGGAAUCUGCACGCUCUUUAGCACCGUGCUUGAGAGGGUGAAAAGACCUUUGGAAGCUGAGAUUAUGGGAAGAGUUUACCUGAAAGGGAUAAAUGCUGAACUGUUUUAAGUUCACUAACAGUUUUCCCGGGGAUGUACUUUCGGCCCUCCAACGACAGGACAAGGUACGCAGGAAGAGAGGUGGGAAGACAGAGGGACAGCCCGCGCCACACUGGGGCUUGCCUGAUUCCUGCUGGAGCUCAGCUGAACAACGGCUUGGAAGAUUAAACACCGGCGCCGUCCCAUCUCCUCCUGAAGCCUCAGCAGAAGUCAGCUACUGUCUGCCCAGCAGUGGUGUGCUCACAGAAUUUUCAUGUGAAUUCUUUGAUUUCAGCAGGAAAAGAUCAACUCCUACAAAUGCAGAUUGAUCCAACAGCGGGAGCGCAGAGAUAACAGGUCAAAGUGGCAGUGUGGGGCCUAGGUGCAAGAGCCUCUUCGAGCGCCCGCUGUGCGACUAACGCUGAGGCAUGCAGAUGCUCAGCACACGCCGGUGACAUGGGAGGAACCUCACCUCGCAUUAACUGAUCCCGUCUCACUUGCCAGCCUCCUUUCCGGGAAUGUGACUCUCUUCCUCAGUUAACAUAACACUGUUAAUCACUAAUGUUACUCCAAGUCAAGUAAAGUACCCUUAAUGCUUAAUACUAAACGUUGUAAAAUGGCUUACUGGCAAAAAGUGCUGUUUUCUUUUUUUCUUUUUUUUUUUGAUGAGAGGCAAUGCUAUUCUCUUGAAUUAUGAUGAACGUGCAGCUACUUGGAUAAUAAUAUAGAUGAUUAAAUGAUCGGAUGAAGUUGCCUGUACAGGACCUCAGCCAGUUCAUGCUAAGGCUGAGCGCAGCAUGCUCUGGUUUCUUGGGUUAUAGACUCCUUGGGGGUGGGGAUGAAAGGACAGGAGUUCAGCACACUAGCAUCAAGCACAGUGCCCACAUUUUAAACUCAGAUCACUAGGCACAUCCACAGCAAAAGUAAUAUGUGGAUAUGUGGUAACCAUAUACUGUACCAUGUUUCACGGUUGUUCACAGUUUUAGGUACUGUUUUCACUUGUCAGAUCACUUCAGAAACCUCUGUCUCAGUUAGAAUACACUGCAAGGUGUGGGCUUCGUAUGAAUCUAUCCGUUCAUCUCCUUACUAUGCAAGUUAUAAAGAGUUCCUCCCCAUUCGGCUUUAGGAAAGCUUUGGCUUUUUUUUGGCUCCUCCCAUCUGGCUUUAGGAAAGUGUAAAACUGAAACUACAUCCUUCUCUUCCUGCUGCUUGAACUGCUCUUGCUGCGCCCUGUUGGGUGGCCAUUGCUAUCACCUCUAGGAUGGGUGAACAUACAAGAAUUGCAGUUUGGAGAACAAUUUUGUAAUAUCUCAGGCUUAAAGCCAGUAG